GACAUUGUGGUCUAGUGGAAAGAGCCCGGGCUUGAGAAUCAGAGGACAUGGGUUCUAAUCCCAUCUCUGCCA
rnacentral:tRNA from 1 species